GCAUUCAUAGAAAAGAACAUGCAACGUAAGAAAUCAACAAAACAAUAAUCCAUAGCUAAUACAAGAAGAAUGUGAAAAUCCAAAACAAAAAUAAAAACCCAAGAGAAGAAACCCACGAAAAACAGAUAAUCUUUGACGCUGUUAGAUCCUUCAAACGGAUCUCAAGAUCUUCAAGAACAAUAACAAAAACAAAUUAAAAAAUUGUUUCCCAACAUAGGAAUAAGAUGGAGAGAGUUAAAAGUGGAGGAAAAUCGUCAAGAAACCUAGAUAGGAAAAUGAAAGGAACAACAGAGGAGAGAAAGAGUUUACCUGAAGGAAACUGCGAUGAAGAGGAGGAGUACUAGUGGCACUGGGACCGAGAGGGGAUGUCAGGUUGAGUGAGAGGAUUUCUGACGUGAGAAACUGGGGAGGGUGAAAUUGAAACCUCAGGCACGGUGGUGGGUGGAGGGAGGGGGAAUAGCGGUGGGGGAGGAGAGGGGAGGGUUAUUUUUAUUUAAGAUUAAUAUUAAUAUUAAUAUAAAGUUUAAAUUUUAUUUUUAUAUUUUUUGAAAAUAUUCAUGCAUUUUAUAUAUUUUUUUAUUUUUAAAAUUAGGAUAAAUUGAGACCAUUUAUAAAAUUUGAGGGUUAAUUUUUUAAAAUUAAGAUUAAAUCAAUAUAAUAUGUAAAAGUUGAUAGUUAAAUUUAUUAUUAUAUCAAUUUUUAACUACCACAUCACUCUUCUAUUAAUGUAAUUAAUAGAAAUAGAAAAAAAACUCAAUUAAUUAAAUGAAAAUUUUAAAAAAAUUAGUAGUUGAAUUACUAAAACUAUAUCUCUAAUCGG
rnacentral:lncRNA from 1 species